rnacentral:tRNA from 1 species
UGGGCUAUAGCCAAGCGGUAAGGCAACGGACUUUGAAUCCGUCACUCGUUGGUUCGAAUCCAGCUAGCCCAG